rnacentral:rRNA from 1 species
UACGUAGGCAGCGAGCGUUGUUCGGAGUUACUGGGCGUAAAAGGGGUGCGUAGGCGGUUGUUUUAAGUUUGGUGUGAAAUCUCCCGGGCUCAACUGGGAGGGUGCGCCGAAUACUGAAUGACUAGAGUGCGGGAGAGGAUAGUGGAAUUCCUGGUGUAGCGGUGAAAUGCGUAGAUAUCAGGAGGAACACCAGUGGCGAAAGCGGCUUCCUGGUCCAGCACCGACGUUCAGGCACGAAAGCGUGGGGAGCAAACAGG